rnacentral:rRNA from 1 species
UACGUAGGGGGCAAGCGUUGUCCGGAAUCAUUGGGCGUAAAGCGCGUGUAGGCGGUUCGAUAAGUCUGCUGUGAAAGUCCAGGGCUCAACCCUGGGAUGCCGGUGGAUACUGUCGGACUAGAGUACGGAAGAGGCGAGUGGAAUUCCCGGUGUAGCGGUGAAAUGCGUAGAUAUCUGGAGGAAUACCGGUGGCGAAGGCGGCAUCCUGGACCGGCAUUGACGCUGAGGAGCGAAAGCUAGGGAGCAACGGG